UUCACCUUCCACGCAAUUCACAUUGCAGAUCUGUUCGCUGCACCGCUGUUGUCACGCGUUCUGGUUUGAUCUGCCGCCCGCCGCCUCUGUUUCUCCUUCAGGUGGCAGUUGGGAGUGCAAGGAAGGAUCUGUGAUCUGUUUUUCUUUGGCUCUCUCUCUCAGAUAUGGUUUUCUAAGGUGGUGUUGAGAGUAGAUCUAGAUAAAUGGGU
rnacentral:lncRNA from 1 species